rnacentral:tRNA from 1 species
UAGCUCAGCUGGUAAAGCAUCUGCCUGCAAUGCAGGAGACCCCGGUUUGAUUCCUGG